GCUUUGGUGGGGUAGUGGUAACCUGGGUCGUUGCCAUUUCGGCUUACGUAACCGUGACUCGACCCGCCGGGGGUUCGAUUCCCUCUCAAAGCA